rnacentral:misc_RNA from 1 species
GUUUUAUUUUUAUUUUUAUUUUUCACAUUCCCAACACCUUUUAAUCAGGCAACCACAUUUUUCUUGAUUCUUUUGAUCUGGAUGACCAGCCUUGUUAGAGAGCCACGGCUACCAACAAAGUCAGCAGCCUAAAAACUAAACCCCCCAUCAAAACCAACCAACCAAACACAAAGCUCUUUGGGUGUCAAAGUUGUUUGCUGUGCAAAAACAGGCCGGGAAAAUUCCUCCCCCCAAACCUGAAAUCACACAAGUUUUCAAUGAUGAUCCUUCCGCAGGUUCACCUACGGAAA